GGGGUCGCGGAUUGGAGGUUUCCGGUUGGAAAAGCCCCUUGGCGGCUAACUGGGGAGGACUGGAAGAAAUCUAGGAUGGAGCCAGCACUGCUGGCCCAACAUGUCUGUGAGAGAACCUAAAGGCGCCUCCAGGAGGAAGCGUCUGCAUCUUUUCCUUGUUUUUUUUUUUUUUUUUUUUGGAGGCAGGGUCUCGCUCUGUCACCCAGUGGGGAGUGCAGUGGUGCCAUGAACGCUCAUUGCAGCCUCAGGCUGGUCUCCGACUCCUGGGUUCAAAUGAUCCUCCUGCCCCAGCCUCCCAAAAUGCUGGAAUUACAGGCAUGAGUCACUGCGUCCGGCUGCUUUUCCAUUUUUCAUCGUAGCUGAAAAACCAGGCCAUACAGAGAUAGGAGCCGAGGGGACACAGUGAGAAGUGACCAGAAGACAAGUGCGAGCCUCCUGUUAUGCCCGGACAGGGCCACCAGAGGGCUCCUGGGUCUAGCGGUGAAGCCAGCGCCUGGGAAGACGCCCGUUGCCAAGCGGACCAUGGUCUAGCGGUAGCGUCAGUGCUUAGAAAAGGCACCGGUUACUUAGCAGACCGGGAAAGGGAAUCUCCCUUUCUCCGGGGGAGGUAGAGAAGACUCUGCUCCACCACCUCUUGUGGAGGUCCUGACAUCAGUCAAGCCCGCCCGCAGUCAUCCGGAGGCCUGACCGUCUCCCUGUGAUGCUGUGCUUCUGCGGUCACGCUCCUGGUCCACUUUCAUGUUCCACCCUGUACACCUGGAUCUGCCUUCUAGAUAGCAGUAGCAGAAUUAGUGAAAGUACUAAAAGUCUUUGAAAUGCAGAAGUAAUGGCGUAAGCUGUCUCUUUCUCCGCCUCGGCUGCCAAACAGGGAAAGGUGCCCUGUCCAGUGGACACGUGACCCACAUGACCUUAGCUAUCAUUGGAGAUGGCUCACGCUCCUUACCCUGCCCCCUUGUCUUGUAUCCAAUAAAUAACAGCACAGCCAGGCAUUCGGGGCCACUACCGGUCUCCGCGUCUUG
rnacentral:lncRNA from 10 species